AGAGACCGGCGCACGGGUGCGUAACGCGUAUGCAAUCUACCUUUUACAGAGGGAUAGCCCAGAGAAAUUUGGAUUAAUACCUCAUAGUAUUAUGAAAUGGCAUCAUUUUAUAAUUAAAGUCACAACGGUAAAAGAUGAGCAUGCGUCCCAUUAGCUAGUUGGUAAGGUAACGGCUUACCAAGGCUACGAUGGGUAGGGGUCCUGAGAGGGAGAUCCCCCACACUGGUACUGAGACACGGACCAGACUCCUACGGGAGGCAGCAGUGAGGAAUAUUGGACAAUGGGCGCAAGCCUGAUCCAGCCAUGCCGCGUGCAGGAUGACGGUCCUAUGGAUUGUAAACUGCUUUUAUACAGGAAGAAACCCUGGUUCGUGAACCAGCUUGACGGUACUGUAAGAAUAAGGAUCGGCUAACUCCGUGCCAGCAGCCGCGGUAAUACGGAGGAUCCAAGCGUUAUCCGGAAUCAUUGGGUUUAAAGGGUCCGUAGGCGGUUUAGUAAGUCAGUGGUGAAAGCCCAUCGCUCAACGGUGGAACGGCCAUUGAUACUGCUAAACUUGAAUUAUUAGGAAGUAACUAGAAUAUGUAGUGUAGCGGUGAAAUGCUUAGAGAUUACAUGGAAUACCAAUUGCGAAGGCAGGUUACUACUAAUUGAUUGACGCUGAUGGACGAAAGCGUGGGUAGCGAACAGGAUUAGAUACCCUGGUAGUCCACGCCGUAAACGAUGGAUACUAGCUGUUGGGGGCAACUUCAGUGGCUA
rnacentral:rRNA from 1 species